AACAUCGCGCACCUGCGGGAACCUGCGGAGGGAUCAUCAAAGAAUUUUCCAAAGAGAAAAUUGAGUUGCUCCUUUUCUUGUAAAAGAGAGAAGAGCGCUCUUUUUUCUCCAAACAAACGAUCACAACUAUUGAAAAAAUAACAGAGAGAAAUAAUUGACUUGGUUGAUGAGAAAUUAUAAGCGUUUGCCUGAUAAUUUGAUGAUUUGGAAACAAGAGAAAGAAAUACAACUUUUAACAAC
rnacentral:misc_RNA from 1 species